rnacentral:lncRNA from 1 species
GAGGAACGCUGAGCCGACCUCUCCGUUAGGCUGAAGAUUGCACAAACCAUGCUAAUGGCCAGCAUGGAUGGAGGGAGCGUGUGAGAUGUGUGGGGCAGCGUGCUGCAUCUCAGCCAACUCCAGGAGCCAGUUGAUGUGAUGGACUACCUUAAUUGAUUUUUGAAUGUUGAGCCAGCCUUAUGCAUGUGGGAUAAACCCCUGUUGAUCAUGGCUGGCUGGAGUGCAGUGGUGCAAUCAUGGCUCACUGCAACCUCAAAUUCCUGGGCUCAAGGGAUCCUCCUGCCUCAGCCUCCCAAGUAGCUAGGACUACAGGAAGCAUGCUCAUGGCAAUACCCGGAGUCUCCACUGCAAGACCAGAGUGACGGAGGCAGCAGAGCUCCUCAGCAGGCCAGGAGUCUCCAGAGGCACUGCCGAAUGUCUAAGAAGCAACCUCAUUGUAUUCCCAAGACCUGGGAAUCCAGGUCUCGCAGAUACGAUGAUACAAUCUAUAGCCAGGACAUCUCUUCAUGUGUAGGAUAAGCAACUAUCCCAGUCUUCCCAGGAUUGAGGGGCUUCUCCAGAUGCUGCACUUCUGGUGCUAAAAAUGAGAAACUGAAAUGAAUUAGUCACCCAAGGAAUGCUGACCCUGUGCUAUAUGAUCACAUUUACUCUUUAAAGCAAUGCUUUGAGGUAGGUAAUAUUAUUUCCAUUUUAAAUAAUUUAUAAAUAAGAGAUAAAGUGUGAUUCCCAAGGCCAUUAUCCAGUAAGUGAUAGAGACUGGGUUUAGGUUAUAUUGUCUGAUUUAAAGCCAGUAUAUUUGUUAUCUGCAUAAUAAAUUACUCCAAAUCUUGGGCUUAAACCAACAAUACGAGUUUAUUAAUCCAUAGUUUCUGUGGAUCAGAAGUUGAGGAGCAGUUUAGCUGGAUGGUUCUGGCUCAGGAUCUCUCAUGAUAGGAUCUCUCCUCAUAGUAUUGGGGGCUGUGGUCAUCUGAAGGCCUGACUGGGGCUGGAGGACCUGACUUCAGGAUGGUGCACUCACAUGGCUGCUGGCAGGGAACUACACAAGAGACAGGCUACCAUAGUGACUGUGUAUCUGAUGCUUCCACAGCUACCCCUUAGGACUCUAAGUCCUAGAAUUGGGACUAGAAGUGGGGAUUAAAGGGAUUCCAUAGGAUGAGAUUGACUAAAAAUAUAUAUACAUGAAUAGGCAUACACAGGAAUAUUCAUUAUAUGUGUAAAUACCAUCAUUUGUAUUCAGGCACACCUUGUUUUAUUGUGGCUUUAUUGCACUUCACAGAUAUUGUAUUUUUUUUAGAAAUUGAAGGUUUGUGACAACCCUGUGUUGAGCAAGUCUAUCAGCACUGUUUUUCCAACAGCAUGUGCUCACUUUGUGUCUCUGUGUCACAUUUUGGUAACUCUUACAAUAUUUUGAACGUUUUUAUGACUAUUAUAUCUGUUGUGGUAAUCUGUGAUCUUUGAUGUUACUAUUGUAAUUGUUUUGGAGCUUCAUGAACCAUGCCCAUAUAAGAUGGCAAAUUUAAUUGAUAAAUGUCGUGUG